AUUGAACGCUGGCGGCAGGCCUAACACAUGCAAGUCGAGCGAGCGGCGGACGGGUGAGUAAUGUAUGGGGAUCUGCCCGAUAGAGGGGGAUAACUACUGGAAACGGUGGCUAAUACCGCAUACUAUCGGAUGAACCCAUAUGGGAUUAGCUAGUAGGUGGGGUAAAGGCUCACCUAGGCGACGAUCUCUAGCUGGUCUGAGAGGAUGAUCAGCCACACUGGGACUGAGACACGUUCCAGACUCCGACGGGAGGCAGCAAUUGGGAAUAUUGCACAAUGGGCGCUAGCCUGAUGCAGCCAUGCCGCGUGGGUGAAGAAGGCCUUCGGGUUGUAAAGCACUUUCAGCGAGGAGGCGUUACUCGCAGAAGAAGCACCGGCUAACGCCGUGCCAGCAGCCGCGGUAAUUC
rnacentral:rRNA from 1 species